rnacentral:rRNA from 1 species
GACGAACGCUGGCGGUGUGCUUAACACAUGCAAGUCGAACGGUAAGGCCCUUUCGGGGGUACACGAGUGGCGAACGGGUGAGUAACACGUGAGUAACCUGCCCUCAUCUCUGGGAUAACAGUCGGAAACGGUUGCUAAUACUGGAUAUGAGCUUGCAAGGCAUCUUGUGGGUUGGAAAGAUUUUUUUUGGUUGGGGAUGGACUCGCGGCCUAUCAGCUUGUUGGUGAGGUAGUGGCUCACCAAGGCUUCGACGGGUAGCCGGCCUGAGAGGGCGACCGGCCACAUUGGGACUGAGAUACGGCCCAAAAUCCUACGGGAGGCAGCAGUGGGGAAUAUUGCACAAUGGACGGAAGUCUGAUGCAGCAACGCCGCGUGCGGGAUGACGGCCUUCGGGUUGUAAACCGCUUUCAAUUGUGACGAAGCUUUUUUGUGACGGUAGCAGUAGAAGAAGCACCGGCUAACUACGUG